rnacentral:rRNA from 1 species
GGUAAAUGUAAAAUAAUAAUAUAAGAGAUUAAAUGUUAAAUCAUUAAAUUUAAAAGAUUUGGCGGUACUUAAAAUUUAGAGGAACUUGUAUAGUAAUUGAUGAUCCACGAUAAGAUUUACUUAAUAUAAAGUUUAUGUAUUGCUGUUUAAAAUAUUUAAUUAAUUUAGAUAAAUAAAAUUUAUAAUUUAUUAAAUAAUUCAAGUCAAAAUAUAGUUUUAUUAAGAUUUAAUAUGAGUUACAAUUAAUUUAAUUAAAAAUUGGAGUAAAAGAUUUAAUUUUUUUAUGAAAAUGGAUUUAAAAGUAAAUUUAAUUAAUUAAUUAAUUUGAAUAAAAAAAUUAAGUAUGU